CAAGCAAUGGUACCUCAAGAAGUACGGUGUCGUUCUUGGCAUCAAGGCCAAAGCUGGAAAGGCCAAGUCAGAAGGCAAGGAGGAAGAGCCAGGUGAGAAACACAGC
rnacentral:SRP_RNA from 1 species